UCUGGCCAAGAAGUACCGAGACGCC
rnacentral:piRNA from 1 species